rnacentral:tRNA from 1 species
GCCCGGGUGGCGAAAUUAGCAGACGCACUACCUUGAGGUGGUAGCUCCCGUUAAGGGAAUGCAGGUGCAAGUCCUGUCCCGGGCA